rnacentral:rRNA from 1 species
CUGCUCAAUGAAAUUAUAUUUAAAUAGCUGCAGUAUAAAUAACUGUACAAAGGUAGCAUAAUAAUUAGUUUUUUAAUUAAAAACUUGAAUGAAAGAUUAAAUAAAAUAUAAACUAUCUUAACUAAAUCAAUUUAAAUUAAUUUUAAGUCAAAAAUCUUAAAUUAAAUUAAAAGACGAAAAGACCCUAUAGAAUUUUAUUUAUCUUAUAAAAUAUUUUAUUAAAUAAAUUUAAUUGGGGCAAUUUUAAAAUUUUUAAAAUUUUUAAUUUUUUAAUCAUUAAUAUAUGAAUAAAUCUAACCUUAUAAUAUAAUUUAAAAAAAUAAAUUACCUUAGGGAUAACAGCAUAAUUUUUUUUUUAAGCUCUUAUUUAAAAUAAAGUUUAUGACCUCGAUGUUGAAUUAAGAUAAAAUUUAAAUGAAAAAAUUUAAUAAUUUAAGUCUGUUCGACU